rnacentral:tRNA from 1 species
GGGGCUAUAGCUCAGUUGGUAGAGCGUCUGACUGGCAGUCAGAAGGUCAGGGGUUCGAUUCCCCUUAGCUCCA